CCAAGCACCUGCUUGGUAAGCUGGUGCCUGGAGCCAGCCCUGUUGGGAAGGUAUCUUCAUUCCAACGAAAUAGCAAUUUGCUAACUAUGACUUUGAAACACAUUUGUAAGUGUUGUAAUUUUCUUGUUUAAAAUUCCAUCUAAAUGCCAGACUAUAUUAUUUCAAACAGAUCAGAAUGAUAAAAAUGACACGACUCAUGCAAACUGGAGCAGAAGUUCAUAAUUUUGAUGGCUCCCGAGAAAAUAUAGAAAUUCCAAACAGAGAACUAAAGAAUCAAUCAAACAAUAUAUUCUGUAAUAAGAGAUUUCAGUGCCAGUAAAUAUGAUUUUCAUUCUGUUUAUAUUGCCAGGUUGCACAGGAAAGCUAGUAUAAAAAUAGAAUAAUACUUGCAAUUUCUCCACCUUCUGACCUACAGGAUCUAGCCUGCUAUAUAGUUAAAGAAAAUGGCCACUGGUGGUGGUGUUACUGGUAAAGAAGGGACAUUGUGCAAGCUUCCUGAUAAGCCGGCAUCCCUUCCUCUACUUCCUCCCACCAUAGAGUACAAUAUAGCAUUACAGAUGGAAGAUAAUGUUCUCCACCAGUUCUGUUGUCCACCUUCUGGGUCUAGUAGUCCAUCCUCAAGAUAACAGAGAAGCUCUGGGUCGCUAAGUGGGCAGUCAGAGGGCCACAUCUGUAUAUUCCAUCUCCCUCCUCUUCUUUCUCUUGCUGGUGUGUAUGGGACUGACAUAACUUGCAUGGAGACACUAAAGAUUCUGGUUUACAUCGAAUUUAAAUUUACUCAGAAUGCCUGGUAACUUCCACUCUGCACUUUCUUCUCCAAGCUUUCACGGCUCACUCUUUCUGUGCCAAGUGAUUAAAAUGCAUAUGGAGUGUAAACAAAAAUGUAAAAUGCACAAUAUAUUUUGAACCAAAAUAAACAGUGCCAUAAAU